GACGAACCGAGCGAACGUUGUUCGGAAUCACUGGGCUUAAAGGGCGCGUAGGCGGGCGAUCAAGUCGGUGGUGAAAUCCUGCAGCUUAACUGCAGAACUGCCUCCGAUACUGGUUGUCUCGAGGAAGGUAGUGGCGUACGGAACAGUUGGUGGAGCGGUGAAAUGCGUUGAUAUCAACUGGAACUCCGGUGGCGAAGGCGGUACGCUGGACCUUUUCUGACGCUGAGGCGCGAAAGCCAGGGGAGCAAACGGG
rnacentral:rRNA from 1 species